ACAGCAAGCCAUCUUAUCGCUGCUCUAUUUAGAGGAGAGGAAAGUCCGGGCAACGCAGAGCAUCCUACUUCCUAACGGGAAGGGUCUGUUUUGGAGACGAAACAGAUACAGCCAGUGCCACAGAAAAUAACCGCCAGCCUUGUGUUGGUAAGGGUGAAAAGGUGCGGUAAGAGCGCACCAGCGGCUGGGUUACCAGUCCGGCUGGGUAAACCUUAGGAGUUGAAAGACCAAAUAGGCUGACAGUGCUCCGUUUCGGCGGGGCUAAGGGCUGCUCGUCCGAUGUCAGUGGGUAGGUCGAUGGAGCCUGUGCGCGAGUGCAGGCCUAGAUAAAUGAUAAGACGUUUGGCUUAUGCUAAACGACAGAACCCGGCUUACAGGCUUGCUGCUUCU
rnacentral:RNase_P_RNA from 1 species